AUUGAACGCUGGCGGCAGGCCUAACACAUGCAAGUCGAGCGGCAGCACUUCGGGUGGCGAGCGGCGAACGGGUGAGUAAUACAUGGGAAUCUGCCCAGUAGUGGGGGAUAACUCUGGGAAACUAGAGGUAAUACCGCAUACGUCCUACGGGAGAAAGCAGGGGAUCGCAAGACCUUGCGCUAUUGGAGGAGCCCAUGUCCGAUUAGCUAGUUGGUGAGGUAAAGGCUCACCAAGGCGACGAUCGGUAACUGGUCUGAGAGGAUGGUCAGUCACACUGGAACGGAGACACGGUCCAGACUCCUACGGGAGGCAGCAGUGGGGAAUAUUGGACAAUGGGGGCAACCCUGGUCCAGCCAUGCCGCGUGUGUGAAGAAGGCCGUCGGGUUGUAAAGCACUUUAAGCAGGGAGGAAGGCUCGCAACCUAAUACGUUGCGGGAGUGACGUUACCUGCAGAAUAAGCACCGGCAAACUCCGUGCCAGCCGCCGCCGUAAGAC
rnacentral:rRNA from 1 species